GGAGCCUGCGGUUUAAUUGGACUCAACGCCGGGCAGCUCACCGGAUAAGACAGCUGGAUGAUAGCCGGGCUGAAGACUCUGCUUGACUAGCUGAGAGGAGGUGCAUGGCCGUCGUCAGUUCGUACUGUGAAGCAUCCUGUUAAGUCAGGCAACGAGCGAGACCCACGCCAACAGUUGCUAGCUCGUCCUCCGGGAUGGAGAGGACACUGUUGGGACCGCUCUGCUAAAGAGGAGGAAGGAAUGGGCAGCGGUAGGUCAGCAUGCCCCGAAUUAACUGGGCUACACGCGGGCUACAAUGGGUGGGACAAUGGGUAUCGACACCGAAAGGUGAAGGCAAUCUCCUAAACCCAUCCGUAGUUCGGAUUGUGGGCUGCAACUCGCCCACAUGAAGCUGGAAUCUGUAGUAAUCGUGUUUCAAAAUAGCACGGUGAAUAUGUCCCUGCUCCUU
rnacentral:rRNA from 1 species